rnacentral:lncRNA from 1 species
AUUUAUACUGUUCUUAGAUCACAGCUUGGCACAUGUAAAUGUUAGUUCUUGCAGUGAUUAAUCAUUAUCUAUUUGUAUACCUAUCUAUUCACUCAUUUCUAUCCAUCUUCCAAAUUAAAUUAUCUCAUGCAAUAUCAUCAUUUUUGCAGCACUGGAAAGUCCUAAAGUACUUUCCCCCAAAUUACAACACAUUUAUUUUCCAUGUUUCAUGUAGAGUCUGUUUUCCAUCUUAAUAUACUCUCCUGUUCUUUGAUAUUAUGCAAUAUUUCUGUGAUGAAAAUUGGGGCUAUUACACAUGUAUAACUUCUGACUUUCUCAAUGCAUUUUAAAUAAUCACAUUUGUUUAUUUUAGAGGAUGAUAUGACAGAUUGCCUGAGCCUCAUCAAUGAAGUGUGUAUGGAGGCAAAAAGCGCAGGCGACACGGAACUGCAGGCUGAAUUCUUGACGCAAGCUGUAAUUCUUGGCCUACAAGAAAAGCAUUUAAAGGCAGACAUCAUGACAAACCUUCAGGAUAUAAUACAUUUGCUGGAAGGAAAUGAAUUUAUUUCUCCUCGAUCACGGCUAACCCUGGCAAGAAGCCUAGUUUUGCUGGAUGACUUAACCAAAGCUGAGAAAUUCAAGGAAUCUCCCUUUUCAAAAACAGGAAAAUUAAAUUUGUUAACUCGGGCUCAUAGCAUUCUAACUGAACAGAUGCUAGCUUUUGGAGAAACAAUUGAAUUUCGUUCAUCAAACACUAAAUAUGCAAAUCCAUUACAGCCUUUGAAAAAUAUCUAUCUUCCCCAUGUCAUGUUAUUGGCCAAAAUAAAAAUGAGAAUUGGUAAGAACAUUUAAACUUAUAUUGCCCUAGAAUAACUGAUAAAACUUUUUAAGUUAUUUUUAGGGAGGCUAUCAUAUGAGUGCAUUUAAAAGAGGCAAUAUUUAUGAAUACUCAGGCUCCAUUUAUUUAACCAAUAGUUUUUGAUCACUUAUCAUAUGCCAGACUGUGUGAUGUAUAGAUGGUCUUUAUAUAUGAAUAAAGUAUGUGGUUGAUUACCAUAAUAUAACAUGCAUAACUGCUUGGUCUAGACUAUUGCACUUUAUCCAGGUCAUCAGUCUUUUGGAUUAAAAUUAUGCCCACAUAAUUUACUUCAAAAUUACCAUGCAAUUCAGUAACUUUACUGAAAAAAAUCCUACAAACGCAAAAUACAUUUCUUAAAUAAUCUGUUGUCUAGCA